GUCGCUGCCCGGAACUGAGCCGUUUCGAGAAGCCUGGGGACUGCAGAUCUGGGACCUGGGGAUCGCAGCGGCUUGAACCGGGCAAAAGUCGUAACAAGGUUUCCGUAGGUGA
rnacentral:rRNA from 1 species